UAUAGGUUUAAAGGACAUAAGUCCAAUUAUCACAUUCUAAAUAAACAUAAAUUGUGUAUAUGAAGGACAUAGAUCCAGAUAACACAGAGAAAGCUGGGUAUUUAUCAACAACAGCAGCUCUCCACAGUUCUCAUAGAUCUACAAAGGUGCACAGGGGGGUUUAAAAAUGAUGUUCAGGCGUGCACAUACCCCCAAGGGGCCAGCAAACAACCUGAAACCAAGUUUAUUCAAUAAUGAUCCUUCCGCAGGUUCACCUACGGAAA
rnacentral:misc_RNA from 1 species